rnacentral:lncRNA from 1 species
AUCACAGGCUAUAUGCACUGCCUCCCGGCUUAGCAGGGAGCACGGGCGUGCCCACAAACGCGCAUGCCCCGCAACCAACGGAAGAUGAGAUGGGAGGGGGCGGGAUUUUGAAGCCGGCCUCUCGAGUCUCGAGGCGGCUCUUGUGGGCGGGCUCGCACGCGCUCGCGAGAUUUAGGGGCGGAGCGGAGGAGCAGGGUUGGAGGAGACACUCGGAGGGGGCCCCACUGGAGGAAAGUAGGGGUCGCUCGGGGUGAGGAGGAGGAGGUGGAAGCAGCGGCGGCGGCUAGGAGGCGGAAGUGAGUCCAGCUGCCCCGGCAGAGGAGGCUGUGCUUGCGCGGAGACAGCUCCGGCCCCGGCUCCGGCGUUGUGAGGGAGCCCGCGCCCUCCCCUGGUUCCCCCAGCGGCGGCGGCCAUGGCGAAAAGCAGGGUCGGGCAGCCGGCUGAGGAGGCGGCUGCGGGGCCGCUGGACCCCUCGAGCCAGGCCCUCGGAGACUCCCUGAAAGGUCACUCUGCUAAGCACUGGGUUACAAAGGAAAAGAAGACAAAAAUCAAUACAGCCCCAGCUCUUAACUUGCGCUUGGUCUAAUGGGUGAGUCCACAUGGAAACAAGAUAGAAGAGAAUCCAAGGAUCUCAAUGUAGUUUGAUGCUUUAUUAGCUAUGUGGGCCACUUUGUGUAAUAGUAAACCUAGAGGAGAGGCACUAAAUUUAAGGAGGAUGGGAAAAACCUUCUUCCAAACCAGUUUUGUUUUUUGUCUUUGAAACACCUUCGCUGUGGGGCAGUAAGGUGGCUCAGUGGAUAGAGAUAAGAGAUGUCUUGAGUUGAAAUGUGGCCUCACACUUCCUAGCAGUGUGGCAUUUGAGGAAGUCACUUAAUCCCCUUCUAGUCUUUCUUACUCUUCUGCCUUGGAGCCAAUAUUUAACAAUUCUUAUCCUCCCUCCCCCCUCCCCCCCAUUAAAACCUUCUAUCAUAGAAUCAAUACUAAGAAUAGGUUCCAAGGCAGAAGAGCCAAGGGUCACCUAGCCAGGAAGUGUCUGAGGUUAUAUUUGAACCUAGGACCUCCUUUCUCUAGGUGUGGCUCUCUAUCUAGUGAGCCACUUAGCCAUCCCAAUACUUAUAAAUUCUAAGUUAAAUGAUAAGGGUUUAAAAAUAUAGAAAACACAGGGCCUGGCCCACAGCAGUUGGUUAAUCAAAUCAGCUGGCAUAGUUAAGGGUCUGCUUUGGACCUAUGUGAAGCAGUGGGGGUUCAAAGAAAGGCAAAAACCAUCCAUCCAGCCCAAACCAACAACCCUUGGUCCUCCUUGCUUUCAGGAGCUCACAGUCUGUGAACAAAUGAAAAUCUGAUUUCAGAUAUGAGUUUGGCUUUCCUAAUCAUUAACAUUUUCCAGCCUCCGAAGUUUUUAUGACCAAACUGUUUGGUAAUCUGCAUAAGAAACUAAUUUUAUUUUGCUUAAUUGCCUUUUCUGCAACUUAAGCCUAUUUAGGAAUUGUUGGUCUUAUACACAAGAUACCUUAAGUUCACAAUGUUAAAACUAUUAUUGUCCAGGUUUUUUUGUUUCUAAAC